AUGCUUACAUGGCAGGAGAGAGAAAAUGAUCAAGAAGAUGGUUUUCCCAGGGUGAGGCUCACCCAUUGCUCUCCAGGUAUGCUGAGCCCUGAAAUUUCCCCAAACAUGGGAAACUGUAUAAUUUGUGGUAGUGGGGGACCGUGUUUGCACUCUCCCCUG